GGGCACUUGGUGUAGUUGGUUUAUCACGCCCGCUUAGCAUGCGGGAGGGGACCGGUUCAAUUCCGGUAGUGUCCA
rnacentral:tRNA from 1 species